AUGCCCACAGGAAUUACAUUUGCCAAUCCACUUGUCUCCAAUUUUAUUGAUAAAAAAAUCAAACCAGAAGAUGUAGUACCUAUCCUGGAGAGCUUGGAGCUUCCAAUAAGUGAUGAAAAUAUUAAAAAAGCACUGGAAUCCACGGAGUUUGAUGAAGAUGGAAAAAUAAAAUUUGACAAAUUUAUAAAUGAAUUGAUGAAGACUGGAGACUGUGCAAAGAGCCAACGAAUACAAGAUGCAAAUAAUUUUGUUAAUAAUAUUGUUGAUGGCAAAGUCAAUACAGAGGAUGUGAUGCCUAUCCUGAAGAGUUUGGGGAUCGACUUAUCUAAAGAAAAGCUUGCAGAUAUUUUGAAAUCCGUUAAACCUGAUGAAAAGGGAAAAGUGAAAUUUCAGGAUGUAGUCAACAAAUUGAUUUCAAGCAAACGUGCUUUAAAGGCCCAACGUGAGUACUAAUGAACCUUUCCAUUUUUGUGUUGAUGUAUACACCGUGACUAAAUACUAAUUUAAGAUUCUAGUAUGGUUUAGAUUUAAAAUACUUAUUAAAGUAUCUCAGAAUCUGGAGGAGGCCUUGGAAAAAUCAUGCAUUUCAAUCAGGCUCUCUAAAAUCUUGACAGAAUGCUGUGAGCCAAAGUUUAUCCCACUAUCCAAUCUAGUUUCUAAUUUGGAAACAGGGAAAUCUGUGGAUAUUCCAUUUCUGCCUUGAAGUUCAGUCUAGUAUUCUAACUACCCCAAAGCCACUCCAACCAUGCUAGAUCACAAAGCCUUUUAAAUUUUGUUACUUUGAGGAUAAUCAUACGUUAUCAUGUGCUUCUUUGCACAUUAACUUUGUAACUUGCUGGUGUUUUUUGUUAAUCAACCAGUCUCAAAAAAAAAAAAGAGCGAGAAUGGUGGAAUCUUAUGAUUCUAUUAUUAAAAAUCACAAGUCUAUUCCUUUAUUUAAGGGAAUGAAUUACAAUGAGGUCAUGCCUUAUUCUAAUGGUUUUUUAUUGGACGUAAUGAGAAUUUGUAUUUGAUAUGAUACAUUCAAGAGUUAACGUUUUCUUCUUCUGUAAUUCUAAGUAGAAGCUUGGGAAACCUUUUAGUUCUCAUUCUACUUUGGUAUGGCCUCAGACCCAAUAAUCAUGGAUGUAGAAAAUAAAUACAUUAUAUAUCUCA
rnacentral:lncRNA from 1 species